rnacentral:rRNA from 1 species
UAGGGAAUCUUCCGCAAUGGACGAAAGUCUGACGGAGCAACGCCGCGUGAGUGAUGAAGGUCUUCGGAUCGUAAAGCUCUGUUGCCAGGGAAGAAUAGGUAUAGGAGUAACUGCCUGUACUGUGACGGUACCUGAGAAGAAAGCCCCGGCUAACUACGUGCCAGCAGCCGCGGUAAUACGUAGGGGGCAAGCGUUGUCCGGAAUUAUUGGGCGUAAAGGGCACGCAGGCGGUGGUUUAAGUUUGGUGUUUAAUCCCGGGGCUCAACCCCGGUACGCACUGAAAACUGGAUCACUUGAGUACAGAAGAGGAGAGUGGAAUUCCACGUGUAGCGGUGAAAUGCGUAGAUAUGUGGAGGAACACCAGUGGCGAAGGCGACUCUCUGGUCUGUCACUGACGCUGAGGUGCGAAAGCGUGGGUAGCAAACAGG